CUAGCAGCAGCACACCCUACACAGUGUACAGAGACUCGUGUGAGUUUGCAGACGGAGCUCAGAGCAGGAUUCACUCUGGACCUUUAUCUCUUCAAGACUUCAUCUAGAUUCUGCACGGUUUUAGAAACAUUCUGGAUCAUUCUGCAUUCCUCCUCUUCUCACAGAGUCGAAAUUGAGUAUAGAAAGGAAAAAACACAUACAGAAACUGCCAUCAGAAACCACAGAUGAGAAAAAUGGAGGACAGAAAUGAAACACAAACCACUGGAUCUCAAGAGAAAAGCAGACAGAAAUUUGAUAGAUGGCACAGUAUUGACAGAAAAAGACCAUGGUUGUCAGAUGAUCCAGGAGUGGAGGGAAAGUUUCAUUCUGAUGUUAAAAGCUGUUCAGCAUCAGUGAGACACCAGCAGCUGAAGACCUGAACAUCUUCAUCAACAUCAACAUCAUCAUCAUCUUCAUCAUCUCAGACUCCAUCUCUCCAGUCUCCAGACUCCAGUCUCUUCAGCUCCAGAACUGUUUUCAGACUCAUCUGAUCACAAACUAACAGACUAAUGAACCGUUUCUUUCUCAGAUCUGUGUCUGAGAACCGUUUUAUUGAUCUGGAGCAGCACUUUAUGAGAUUAUUUUCACAUCUGCAUCACACAGAGACUCGUUUUUCUUUGACAAAAUAUCAGUUCGAGUGUUCACUGCAUCAUAUAUAUUCCAUGCAUUUUCAUUUCUGUAUUUCUGUAUAUUGUGAAUCAUUUAAGAGAUUCUAUCCACCUUAUUUAAUGCUAACAGAAACGCAGGCGUGACUAUUUGUUAUUAAAUGUACAGUAUCUGGCUUCCGCUGUUGUACAGUUCCAGUUAUUUUUAGCACGUUAUGUUUCCUGACAUUGAAAAACCAGUCCAGUAUUGUAGAGAUUCUCAAGUCUGGCUCAGGAUCCACUUUCCUGCCGAGUCUAUCUCCAAUCCUGAUCAAACUCACUCUUUCUAGCGAUCCUGAAGACCUUGAUCAACCGGUUCAGGUGUGUUCGAUGAGGGCUGGAGAAAAACCCUGAAACAACUGCCUUAUUGCUUGUCAUGUUAUUUUAAUGUAUUGUCAUAAUUACUGUAUAAAUACACCGGUCUGUAGUGUGAAUAGAUUUACCGUUUACAGCACUCUAAUCCGAGUUAUUUGCAUAUUACAGCUAAUGGAAAUAAAGAAUUACACAUUCACAGAAAAUUGCUUAAAUGUUGCAAAAUAAGGUGGAUUUUUCUCUUUCUAUUUUUUUUGUACCAUUCCAUACUGUUUAUUGAACAUUCAUUACUCAUCUUUUCAGUCUGUUCUAAAAGAAUGCUGAAAUAACACUAUUAAACAUCAUAUUUGCGUGUUGCUUGUGUGUGAAGGUGCUGUAUAGUGUUGCGUGUACAGUUGUAAGUGUUUACUGUACCAGUGUUUGUGUUGCUGUAAUAGUGUUUCCUGUACUGUAAUCUCACUGUACUGUAAUCUGCUGACAGACUAACAGUAACAGUGUAACUGUGAAUCCUGUCCAGUCUCUUGCUGUCAGUAUCUGAUCUACUGUUCUUUGCACUGAUGAAACUGAUUUAGCAUGAAGAUGAACUCCAUUUCAAUUACUGUCAUCAAAACCACUGCCAGAGUUUACAUCAGGAAACACUGACAGACGGACAACACACUAAACAUGUUCAUAUCUGGACUGAGAUCAGUCACACAAGUAUUCAUUCUGAUCACACUGAUAUGACAUUAAUACUUAUGAAAAAUGAACUGAUGAAAGAUGAUGAAGUUACAGGCUUUUCCAGACUUUUGUAGCGAUGCUGUUUGUACAGACUGUUUAGUGCAACACACUUACUGCUUUACAAAUAUUAAAGAUGCUUUGAGAA